rnacentral:rRNA from 1 species
CCUACGGGAGGCAGCAGUGGGGAAUUUUGCGCAAUGGGGGAAACCCUGACGCAGCAACGCCGCGUGCGGGAUGACGGCCCUCGGGUUGGAAACCGCUUUCAGUGGGGACGAUGGUGACGGUACCCACAGAAGAAGCUCCGGCUAACUACGUGCCAGCAGCCGCGGUAAUACGUAGGGAGCGAGCGUUAUCCGGAUUCAUUGGGCGUAAAGCGCGCGUAGGCGGCUUGCUAAGCGGGAUGUUAAAUUCCGGGGCGCAACCUCGGGCCGGGAGUCGAAACUGGCGGGCUGGAGUGCGGUAGAGGCAGGCGGAAUUCCUGGUGUAGCGGUGGAAUGCGCAGAUAUCGGGAAGAACACCGAUGGCGAAGGCAGCUUGCUGGGCCGUCACUGACGCUGAGGCGCGAAAGCUGGGGGAGCGAACAGGAUUAGAUACCCGUGUAGUC